rnacentral:rRNA from 1 species
GACGAACGCUGGCGGCGUGCUUAACACAUGCAAGUCGAACGGUAAGGCCCUUCGGGGUACACGAGUGGCGAACGGGUGAGUAACACGUGGGUGAUCUGCCCUGCACUUCGGGAUAUGCCUGGGACACUGGUUCUAAUACCGGAUAGGACUCCUGGCUCCAUGGUUGGGGGUGGAAAGCUUUUGCGGUGUGGGAUGGGCCCGCGGCCUAUCAGCUGGUUGGUGGGGUAAUGGCCUACCAAGGCGACGACGGGUAGCCGGGCUGAGAGGGUGACCGGUCAGAGUGGGACUGAGAUACGGCCCAGACUCCUACGGGAGGCAGCAGUGGGGAAUAUCGCACAAUGGGCGCAAGCCUGAUGCAGCGACGCCGCGUGAGGGAUGACGGCCUUCGGGUUGUAAACCUCUUUCAGCUAUGACGAAGCGCAAGUGACGGUAGUAGCAGAAGAAGGACCGGCCAACUACGUGCCAGCAGCCGCGGUAA